rnacentral:rRNA from 1 species
AUCGAACGCUGGCGGCGGGCCUAACACAUGCAAGUCGAACGAGUGGAGGACGGGUGGGUAGUGUCUGGGAACCUGCCUGACGUACGCGUCAAACUACUGGAAACCUUAGCUACUACCGCAUACGACCCUUUGGGCUCAUGUGGGAUUAGCUAGUAGGUGGGGUAACGGCUCACCUAGGCGACGAUGCCUACCUGGUCUGAGAGGCGGACCAGCCACACUGGAACUGAGACACGGCCCAGACUCCUACGGGAGGCAGCAGUGGGGAAUAUUGCACAAUGGGCGAAAGCCUGACGCAGCCACGCCGCGUGUAUGAAGAAGGCCUUCGGGUUGUAAAGUACUUUAAGUAGGGAGGCGUUACCCACAGAAGAAGCAACGGCUAACUCCGUGCCAGCAGCCGCGGUAAUAC